UGGAACCCUAAUAUUCGUCUGACGGUCGUAAAUUCUAAUACGUACUUCAAUUGGAAAUUUUAUUGGAUUCAAUUUAAUUUUUACACAUCUUGAUACGUGUACUAUAUGGAGUUGACUAUUGGAUAGUGUUGUGUCCAUUGCCAUUCUUCACAACACGUGUUGUGUCCGUGACCAAUCUUAUCAACACAACAGACUUUACACACCUGGAUACGUGUACUAUAAGGAGUUGACUAUUGGAUAGUUUAUUGUCCAUAGCCAUUACAAACAACACAUCAGGAAGCUGUUUUAUCAUAACAGAAAUGAAUGAAAAAAAAAUGGCUAGAUUUUGCCGAAAGCCAAAAGCAAUUUUCAAAGAAAGACAACAAAGAAACCGUGUCCCAGACAGAACGCUUCCGUCUUUUAGACGUCUUUUUACCCAGUGAUUGGGACCGUGGGUACCGUUUAAAAGACGUCUUUCCAUGGACCUCACUCGGAACCUUAAUGGUUAAUAUGUCCGGUUUUCCGGGUAUUAAAUGGGGCCAAAGCUGGUUUUAUAAUCGCCCCUUUCUUGGAUUUAUGUUUGCGUGUUGAGGGUUUGUUUUGGGCUUUUUGUGGGCGUUUGGUCUUAUACUUCGGUUUAAUAUUUUAUAGAUUUUCAUAAUGUUAUUAAAAUUACAAAUAAAUUUUAUAAUUCAUAAUAUAUUUCUCGCCA